GACACCUGGGCCCCUGCCCUCAGCAGACCUUAAUGUUCCCUCACAGGUCUUAUCCCGGCCAACUCUUGGCAGAGCAGGAACAUUGCAGCCACUGCCAGCAUCCACGAGGCCACUUCCAAGCCAGGCUUUUCCUGCCCCUGCUGCUAACCCCCUGGUGAGCUCCACCCACAUGACUCCAACUUUGCUCUUUCCCUCCUGCCUCUGCCCAGGUCCAGACGGAGCAGUAAUGGACAAUCUCCAGGGCUUUCGUCCCUGUCCACAGCACGUCUUCUUUCUCUGGGGAUGACACAUGCAUAGUCUUAUCUGAACUCUUCAGUUUCAAACUUCAGCUGCUCAGUGCCCUGGCUGUAUUCCACGAGCUGGUGUGGUUCUCCAAUCUGGGCCUAGAUAAGGCAGAGAACCCAUAUUCAGAUGAACAGGAGUGGUGGCAUGGUGGCAAUGGUGGGGAUGGUGGAGAUGAUGAAGACAGCCACCACUUCCCAGCCAUGUAACUCAGUGCCAGGCACUGUGCUAAUCACUUUGCAUGGAUUACCACUCUCUAUUGAGGCUGACUGUGGACCAUGUUGCAGGAGAUCCUCUGUGCUGGUUGUGUCCCUCUAAGUGCACAGGAAGACUGGGAAGGUACCGAUGAGCCAUCCACUCCAGCUGCCUUCUCUGGCUGAAAGACCAUGCAGGGCAGCCUGUCCAGCUGUGGUGGGCCAGAAAAUGCUGUGCUGCACUUCCCCUGCCAGUCUCUAGACCAAGAUACCUAAUGGGCAAUGUCUUAGCCCCUUUUAUGCUACUAACACAGAAAGCUUGAGGCCUGGUGACUGGUGGAGAAGAGAGAUUCGUGUUGGCAAGGUUCUAGAAGCUGGAAGGUCCAGGAGCACAGUGGCCUGAGGUCUUGGUGCUGCUUCAAUUCAUGGCAGAAAACAGCACAUUGCUGUGGUGAUGACCCAGUCCCUUCAAAGCAGGAACUCACCCGUGCUGGUGAGAAUGAACCUUGUCCUUGAGGAAGACGUUACUGACCCAAACAUCCCUUCAAGUCCCAUCAUGUGUCUAAGUUGUUCCACUGGGAAUCACAUUUCAACCAGGCUUCAAUGGAACAAAACCUAUCCAAGCCAUAAAGGUCAUGAGAGAUUCUUUUAUUUGGUGGUUUAAUGAGUCCUUCACCUGCUCCAAUGAAGUUUGACAUGAGUGUGGUGGCUGUGUGUGGCAUACGAACAUCUUAUAAUUUGUAAAUAGGAAGAGCAAGAGAAGUUGAUGGAAAAGUAUAGGAAUGAGAAAAAAAAAAGGAAUCCGGUUGUAUCAUGUACAGAUUCACGUUCUCUACGAUGAAUGUGAUCAUUUUGUAUACUAUAUACCAAUAAAAACUGAUAAACAAUAA